rnacentral:rRNA from 1 species
UACGAGGGGUGCAAGCGUUGCUCGGAAUUAUUGGGCGUAAAGGGUUGGUAGGUGGUCUUGUUUGUCUAGGGUGAAAUCCCAUGGCUUAACUGUGGAAGUGCCCUAGAAACGGCAAGACUAGAGUCCUAGAGGGGUUUGUGGAAUUCCCGGUGUAGCGGUGAAAUGCGUAGAGAUCGGGAGGAACACCAGACGGCGAAGGCGGCAUCCUGGACUGGUCCUGACACUCAUGAGCGAAAGCGUGGGGAGCGAUCCGG